ACGAAGGGGGCUAGCGUUGUUCGGAAUUACUGGGCGUAAAGCGUGCGCAGGCGGUUUUACAAGUCAGGGGUGAAAGCCCAGAGCUCAACUCUGGAAAUGCCCUUGAAACUGUUAAGCUCGAGUGCGGGAGAGGUGAGUGGAAUUCCCAGUGUAGAGGUGAAAUUCGUAGAUAUUGGGAAGAACACCGGUGGCGAAGGCGGCUCACUGGCCCGUUUCUGACGCUCAUGCACGAUAGCGUGGGGAUCAAACAGGAUUAGAUACCCUGGUAGUCCACGCCGUAAACUAUGGACGCUAGCCGUUGGGUAGCUUGCUAUUCAGUGGCGCAGCUAACGCCUUAAGCGUCCCGCCUGGGGAGUACGGCCGCAAGGUUG
rnacentral:rRNA from 1 species